AUUUUCGCCUCCCGUUUUAAACGCUUCGGAAACAUAACUCGAAGAAUUUUACGUCGAAUUCCUGUUACUUUUAUUUUAAAUUUCUAUCAACCCAUGUAUGGACGAUUAGGUACUAUUUUUUGAUACGGUUGAGUUAAAGUUCAAGGCGAAAGAUGCUACAAUUAUUAUCAAUUUUGGGUUAUUAUUUCUCAGACCAGAACAACGUCACACGAUUUAAAUACAGAUUUGUCAAAUUCUUGAUCAUAUUCAAAAGGUCACUUCCUCCUUUGAUUUUAUUAAUUUUAUUUUCGAAAAAGUGAAAGGAAAGACAAGGAAAGUCAGGUUUGAAAUCUUGUAAUCAGUUAUUUAUAAAAAAUAAAGUUAGAUCUCUGAUUCAGUAAGUAGGAAGUUAUCUAGUAAUGUUAUUGAUCAUUGAAAUUCAUUAGUAAAUAAAAGAUAGUUGUAGGAAGCUACGUCAAAGGAACAAGGUCCUCUGGAAAAAUUUAUCCGGAUGCAGUUUGUUGAUUCUAUGAAAUCUCUUCUUCAGAGUCCACAUGGUACAGCUGCUUAUCUUUACAUGUGCUUGUCAAUAGAAGCCUUGACCCAUGACCAUUUUGAUUCUACUAUGUAUAUUUAUUAGUUCUGUAUUGAUACGCUUUCACCCGAUUUUCACGCUACGUUUCGCUCCUUCUUCGUUUCACUCUCCAAUUAUGCAUAUUAUUUGUGUUAAUCAGUGGCAAUUUUAUUUAGAUUGUCAAUUUUUAUAGAGAUUAUCCGUUUUCCUACAUAUUAUGAUUUAUGUUUUACAUGGUUUCAGUGGGGGAUUUCACGGAAGCUCAUUUAUCGUUAUGUUGUAUAAGUAAUGCAACCGUGGAAUUUAUUUAUGAUUAGAUGCUAAUUAAUUAUAAAUUCAUUUUUUUUCUUAAACUUCUGGAAUUAUUUAAACGAUAAAAGGAUCGAAAACAGAUACAUCGUGUGCACGUACAAUUUUAUUGUCAGAAUAUUUCAGCAAAGCAGAUACAUUACAUAACUAUGAAUCACUGAUACAUCAAAAUACGCAUAAUUUAUAUUAUAACGAAUUCUUUUUUAUCUUGGUGCUCGGGUCAAAGUUGAUAUUGUUUUCAAUACAUGUACAUAUUCUAAACAUAAUUUCAUAAUAAAUCCAUUAAAAAUAGCC